AUUGAACGCUGGCGGCAUGCCUUACACAUGCAAGUCGAACGGCAGCACGGGUGCUUGCACCUGGUGGCGAGUGGCGAACGGGUGAGUAAUACAUCGGAACAUGUCCUUUAGUGGGGGAUAGCCCGGCGAAAGCCGGAUUAAUACCGCAUACGAUCUACGGAUGAAAGCGGGGGCCCUUCGGGCCUCGCGCUAUAGGGUUGGCCGAUGGCUGAUUAGCUAGUUGGUGGGGUAAAGGCCUACCAAGGCGACGAUCAGUAGCUGGUCUGAGAGGACGACCAGCCACACUGGGACUGAGACACGGCCCAGACUCCUACGGGAGGCAGCAGUGGGGAAUUUUGGACAAUGGGCGAAAGCCUGAUCCAGCAAUGCCGCGUGUGUGAAGAAGGCCUUCGGGUUGUAAAGCACUUUUGUCCGGAAAGAAAUGCUUGGCCCUAAUACGGUCGGGGGAUGACGGUACCGGAAGAAUAAGCACCGGCUAACUACGUG
rnacentral:rRNA from 1 species